rnacentral:rRNA from 1 species
AUUGAACGCUGGCGGCAUGCUUUACACAUGCAAGUCGAACGGGGUGGUGGGGCAACCCGCCAUUCAGUGGCGAACGGGUGAGUAAUGCAUCGGAACGUGUCCCGUAGUGGGGGAUAACCCGGCGAAAGCCGGACUAAUACCGCAUAUGCUCUACGGAGGAAAGCGGGGGACCUGAAAGGGCCUCGCGCUAUGGGAGCGGCCGAUGUCCGAUUAGCUUGUUGGUGGGGUAAUGGCCACCAAGGCGACGAUCGGUAGCUGGUCUGAGAGGAUGAUCAGCCACACUGGGACUGAGACACGGCCCAGACUCCUACGGGAGGC